rnacentral:rRNA from 1 species
CCUACGGGGGGCAGCAGUGAGGAAUAUUGGUCAAUGGACGAGAGUCUGAACCAGCCAAGUAGCGUGAAGGAUGACUGCCCUAUGGGUUGUAAACUUCUUUUAUAUGGGAAUAAAAUGUUCCACGUGUGGGUUUUUGUAUGUACCAUAUGAAUAAGGAUCGGCUAACUCCGUUCCAGCAGCCGCGGUAAUACGGAGGAUCCGAGCGUUAUCCGGAUUUAUUGGGUUUAAAGGGAGCGUAGGUGGGUUGUUAAGUCAGUUGUGAAAGUUUGCGGCUCAACCGUAAAAUUGCAGUUGAUACUGGCAGUCUUGAGUACAGUAGAGGUGGGCGGAAUUCGUGGUGUAGCGGUGAAAUGCUUAGAUAUCACGAAGAACUCCGAUUGCGAAGGCAGCUCACUGGACUGCAACUGACACUGAGGCUCGAAAGUGUGGGUAUCAAACAGGAUUAGAUACCCGAGUAGUC